UCGCAGGGUGAAUAUUAGAGAAUAAUGUGUUUUCAGUUUUUUCCCUGAAAAUCACAGUAGAAUAUCUCUUUAGUCGUGGCUACUACUCUAUUUCUCACUUUUUUGGACAAACAAAGCAAUCUUGGCAAGAUUUGUUAAACAAUCUGCUGUUUGCUAGUUGACUCAUUUCCAUAAUUCGCCAGCCCAUGGUCUCAUCACAAUGAUGUAUUUUGAUAAUGAAUAUUCAUUGUCAGACACUUGAAACUACAAAAAUCAGGAAACUGCUGAAAUGACACUACAGCAAGAGCAACUUCUAGAUAGCAUGUGUAUGUACGUUUCACAACAGCGAAUCAUGCACGUUGUAACCUUCUACCGCUCUGAUAGGCCAGGGAACAAUAUUAAAUAAAUAUUUUGUAGAAGGCUGAACAUUGCAAAGAUUUCAGCAAACCGGUGGACUCAUCCUGCUCAGCUCAAUGCCUAUAAUGUUGCUUUCUUGUUUUGUGCUCGUUAAUUCUGCUGAAUGAAAUUCUGAAGAAAAUUUAGACAUUGCACCUCUGCAACAAGUGGACCAGCCCUGCUUGGCUGAAUGGCGAAUUUUGCUCCCUCUACUGAAUGGUGAGUGUGCUAGAAAAACUUUGUGAACUUUCUUAUUAUAAAUUUCAUGUCCAUUGUAAAUUGCAUGUCCAUUGCAAGU